CAGGACAUCCGCGGGAGCCCGGGCGCAACCGGGCUGAGAGUGGGGCUGGGCGGCCCCUGACCGUACGAACCUGAUCCGGGUCAUGCCGGCGAAGGGAGGCAGGUUCCCCCAUGG
rnacentral:ncRNA from 2 species